AGUGAACGCUGGCGGCGUUCCUAAUACAUGCAAGUCGAACGAAUUUGCGCACGGGUGAGUAAUAUAUAGUUAAUCUGCCCUCCACAGAGGAACACCAGUUGGAAACGACUGCUAAUACCUCAUAGUGUAGGAUGAGACUAUAUCGUAUCAGCUAGUUGUUAAGGUAAUGUCUUACCAAGUCUAUGACGCGUAACUGGUCGGAGAGGAGGAUCAGUCACAUUGAAACUGAGACACGGUCCAAACUACUACGGGAGGCAGGAGUAAGGAAUAUGGCGAAAUGGGGGAAACCCUGACGCAGCAACGCCGCGUGGAGGAUGACACUUUGCGGAGCGUAAACUCCUUUUAUCAGGAAAGCGGUACCUGAUGAAUAAGCACCGGCUAACUCCGUGCCAGCCGCCGCGGUAAUAC
rnacentral:rRNA from 1 species